UGGGGAAUCUUGCGCAAUGGGCGAAAGCCUGACGCAGCAACGCCGCGUGAGUGAUGAAGGUUCUUGGAUCGUAAAGCUCUUUCGGCUGGGAAGAAACGCCCGUGGGCUAAUACCCCUCGGGUUUGACGGUACCAGCAGAAGAAGCACCGGCUAACUCUGUGCCAGCAGCCGCGGUAAUACAGAGGGUGCGAGCGUUGUUCGGAAUUAUUGGGCGUAAAGCGAGUGUAGGCGGGAUCGUAUGUCGGGUGUGAAAGCCCUCGGCUCAACCGAGGAAGUGCGCCCGAAACUGCGGUUCUUGAGUGUCGGAGAGGGUGACGGAAUUCCCGGUGUAGAGGUGAAAUUCGUAGAUAUCGGGAGGAACACCAGUGGCGAAGGCGGUCACCUGGACGAACACUGACGCUGAGACUCGAAAGCGUGGGUAGCAAACAGG
rnacentral:rRNA from 1 species